rnacentral:lncRNA from 1 species
CAUAUAAAUGGAUCACCAGCCAUAGCCAUAGAACCAUCGCACUAGCUGCAAACCAGCGCUGCAACGCAAAACCUGGGACCGAUGGCGCCAUCCAAGUCCCAUCUAGCCUUGCUCCUCGCCGUCGUCCUGCUCGCCACCACGCCGCAGCCUUCGGCGGCCGUCAGGGCCGAGCCCCCUACCCCCUCCACCAGCAAUGGUGCGGUAGCAAAGCCAUCGGCAUGGUGCAUUCCCUGCUUUUCGUUUCUACCACAGUCAUUCUGUAUACCGCCGAUGUUCUGUCCACCAACGCCAAGUGCGCCGCCGCCGCCGCCNCUGAUGGGGCUGAUGCCAUGCAAGGAUUACCUCACCAACAGAACCGCGCCGGAGCCUCCGAACCAAGGCAAGUGCUGCGACGGCCUCAGGUCCCUCUUCGAAAACGCUCCCAUCUGCAUCUGCCGCAUAUCGGACGACGGCGACCUCGACAGGCUCAUGUCGGCACGCCUAGAUGGAGGAAACUUCCUUCAUCUGUCAGUUAUAUGUGACACCACUAUACUUCCAAGUGAUUAUCGAUCUUGCCAAGGUAAGUUAUUGCUCUCCGAACUAGUAGAAACUAAACUGUUUUAUGAAUUAUCUCGUCUUCAAUUAUGAACACUGUGAAUCCUUUUUAUGGAUCGGACAGAAGGACCCGUGCCUCCGCUAAGGGCCGCACCCGCCCCUGAAGCUGCUUCAUAACUGGGCAAAUCAGGUAACUAGUUUGUGUCCCAGAUAAACUGAACCAUUGCCCUGUUUUGGAGAUAGAUUUAUUCUGUAUUGCACUCUAACUUUUGAUUAUAUAUAUGUUUGUUCUGCAGAGUCAUGAUCGUAGUAUAGAAACAAGGUGGAAGCUAAAGAUGCCGUACCUCAAGAUCCGUCGGUACCAUUGUUAGAAGAUAUACAGUGCGAGUUUUUAGUUUUGAUUAGGGACAAUAUGUAGCUUGAUUUGUGUCAAUCUCUGAGCCGUCUUGGAGAAAAUUUAUUUAUUUGUUACGUUCGUAUAUUUGGUUAGUGAGUGUCCACCCUAUGCAUGGAAUCAUCAAAGUCAUAGCGUUGGAAUCAUCAAAUGUUCACCCAGCGCAUCCCGCAAAAAAAAAAAAAAUCACCUAGCCACACCAUGCAUCCCCAACUGUCUAUUUUUCUUUGAGCGAAUCUUGUCUUUGUGCAAUCCCGUAUACAGUCGAAAAAUGUGGUCAAAGUUCUGCCAUCUUGUGUCGUACUCGUGCGGUCGUCCCGGCCAGACCACCGGCGCGUGUCUCCCUUGGCAUGUCGACGACCGCUCGUGCGUGCCGGUCUGCGCGCAAAGAAGGGACUGUGCGUCCGCAGCAUUCGUUAUCAGUUACAUUCCGUUCUACAGUAACAAACAUAAUGACGGCAGCCAGCAGUGAUUUGCUUUUCGCAAAUAUACACCCUCCGUAACUUGAUAUGAGUUGUUUUUCGACACUAUAUAGUGUGUAUCUAAGAUUUGCGGCAGUGAAAAGGAUCCACACAACAUGGUGAUUAUGUAGUUGAGAAUCUCUGCGAUCAACACUUGGGAGCUGUGACACUUUAUGAGUAAAGCCCUGUUCGGAUGUACUUCCCUCCACAGUUCCACUCCCGAAGCUAAUGGGGUUAUUGUUAAAAUUUUAGGAAGCGCCAGUUUGCUGGCUCCGCAGCUCUCCGGAGCUAACAGCCCCUAAGAUAAGUGUUCUCUGAUUGCUUCCCUGCACUUGUGUGUCGCAUUGAGACCUGCAAUUCUGUAGUCCAAACAACUCCAUUGCCCUUCAUUCCAAACACUAAACAUGAAUUCUUUCUCGGACACAUGCGCGCCUACCAGUGUCAACAACGGGCCCAGUAGCCGUCGCUCCAAAUCCCGAACCGACCCACUAGUUAGCGAGCAUUCCUUGUGGAGCUUCGUAGAAAGCACUUCCGUGUGCUACCAGUUAGCGCGUUUUCAGCCGCCAUCACGUGUCACGUUUUGAACAUUUUUUUGAAAUUUUAUUUUUUUUAUUUUUUUCGCAUGCAUUUUUAGCUUUUUAGAUUAUUAUAUUAUGUUUCUGUUUUUCACCGGUCGUUUUUAGUUUUUUGACGAAAAAAAUUCAAAUUUUUUAAACGAAAAACACGUUUUUUUCAUGAGAUGCACGAUUUUGCUUCGCGAGAGGCACGACUGUGCCUUUCAGAAAAGAAAUUUUUGACGAGGGGCACGGUCGUGGCUCUCGGUAAGGAAAAAACGUGUUUUUUUUGCAAUAGACACUAAUUUGAUUUCGCGAGAGGCGUGGUUUUGGCCUUGCCUCUGAAGGGGAAAACGCGUUUUCUAUUUUAUUAUUUUUUUGCAAGAGGCACAGUUUUAUCUUUGAGAAUUGGCACUCGCAGCAGAAUCCUAUUGGACUAGCCCAUGAACGCUCAGCACAAUGCUCAGCACAUCGAAAUAAUGUAGCGCGAAAAACUACCAAAAAAAGACGCUUCGGCACAGAAGCCUUGGGACCCCCUAUUCCGUGCUUUAAGGGCCGUUGAAGCGAACCGGCGCUUGCAGCAGAAUCCUAUUGGGCCGGCCCAUGAACGCUCAGCAUAGCGAAGUAUUAGCGCAAAAAUCUACCAAAAAAGAAGCUUCGGCACACAAGCCUUGGGAUCCCCUAUUCCACGCUUUAAGCGCCGUUGAAGCGAACCGGCGCUCGCAGCAGAAUACUAUUGGGCCGGCCCAUGAACGCGAGAAUUACUAGCGCGCACACUUUAAGAACACUUGCACCCACGCGAUUUGAAUCGAACUCACAUAUUUAAAAAAAUGAAAAAAGAAACUUCACGAACAUGAGAAAAAAAAGUUCAAGAACUUAGAAAAAAAUAGUUAGUUGAAAAACAUUCAUCAAUUUUGAAAACUUACAAUGUGUUUGAAAAAAGUUCAUCGAUUUUGAAAAAAGUUCACAAAUUAAAAAAAAGCAGUUCAUCAAUUUGAAAGGAAAAUAUCGAGGUGUUGAAAAAGGUCAUCUAUUUUGAAAAAAAGUUCAUUGAAUUUGCAAAAAAGUUCAUCAAAUUUGAAAGACAGUUUAUUGAGUUUGAAAAAAGUUUACCGAAUUCGAAAAAAAAUCAUCGAAUUUGAAAAAAAUUCAUAGAAUUCAAUAAAAGUGCAUUAAAUAUGAAAAGGAAAAUUGAAAAAAUUUCAUAGAAUAAGAGAAAAAGUUCAUCAAAUUUGAAAAAAAGACCAUCAAAUGUCAAAAAAGUUCAUAGAAUUUGAAAAACAAAUCAUCACAUUUGAAAAAAAAUUGCUUUAUAAAUAAGUCCGCCUAUUUUCUAAAAGAAAAUAAUCGAUCUUGAAUAAAAAUACGAAUUUCUAGAAAAAACGUGCAAUAAAAAAAAGAUGAAAAUGAAAAAUAAAAGGAGAAUAAAAGCGCCCUGAAUUGUCCAGCGAACUGGGAAAAAACGGUUUGGAAGAAAACACGAAUAAAACUAGAGGAUUCCCACGACUGAGAGAACAAAUAAAAACGCAGCAACAUGUUUUAAAGCACUAGUGUUCGAUGGUUUUGUGGUGGGCUUUGUUCGCUCAGAAGUAUAUGGUCACGGUUUCGAAAUAUCGUUAUGGUCACGUUUCUUUGAAUUCUUUUGACGAAUAUGAGUAGAUUGCAUGCUUAUGGACGAGCCCAACUAGCCGGCGCUGUGGACGCUAAUUUGUAAAAUGCAUGUUAACCAGCGCGUGCAGCGCAAAAUAGGAUUUGCCCAUAAACAAACCUGACGGGUUUUUCCUUCAGCUGCCUUUCGCUGAUGAGGGGACAUAAAAGUUGAGACCUGUCUCAGUUUCCUUGAGCUUGGCCGUGUCCACAACAAUUUUGUGCAGCUUCGUGAGAGGGGGUCUCGCGAUAGGAUAGCCAGCUCCACCCUUCCUCGUGCCGUGGGCCACUCCGGCCACGGCAGCCACCCUCCCUUCCUCGCGACGAGGGCUGCUCCGGCCGCGACAGUCACCCACCAGCCUUUAUGGCCCGCCGGUCUCCGGCUAGAUCCGUCAGUCCGUCGUCGGGUCCUCGCGCCAGCCGUUUGCGCGGCCUCCAGCCUGCCGGUGCGUCGCAGGCGCCGUCACCGCGGUCAACUUCAGAUCCAGCCUCCCCGACGUGAAUCCUGCUGAGGGGAGAGUGCUACAACUUUGCGCCGACGAGGGCGCGUGUGUUUUCCUCCGGUCCGUCCGCGACUCCGGGACCGGCACCCGAGCGCCCCGCGGUCCCGGCAGUGCCGCCCUGCUCCCCGAGGCUUGCGUUGCCGUCUGACGCACCCUUCAUUGAACAUGCGGAUUCUGUGUCGCUGCUGGCACCUCGCCGCAAAUCAAUCGUCGUCGCCCCAUCUCCGGAGGCACUGCUUGCCAUUUCGGGGGUGGAUAGAAGCUGGACCGAGGUCAGCUACCAGAGAAGCCGCCGCGUAGCUGCUGACCCGCCGGUUUCACACCUGCACCAGGGGGGCACCGGCCGGACCGCGCCGGAGACAUAAAUGCCGAGAGGCUGCGCGCGUCCUUCUUAAGCCACUUCCGCGGCCGCUGCUUCCGCUGCUUGAGCAAACGCCACCACCUUGCCGAUUGUCGAGACCCAGUUCAAUGCAUCAUCUGCAGAAGGGCUGGGCACAUCGGCAGGCUCUGCCCGCAGAAUCCUCGUCUUAGUGAUAGAACCGGCUCUGCAAGAAGCAGGUUAGGCCCAGCACCACCUACGCAGCCGCUCCACGCUCGUCUUUGCUUCCCACUGUCGCCUGCCCCCGCCAUCUCGUCGGUGGCACCGACCAUGCUGCACCACGUCGAUCCUGUGCGUCGCCCCAGGGAGAGCCGUUCGGUGACCAUUCCCUCCCCGGCGGUCGACCAGGCGGUCUUCUUCCUUUGGAGCCAUGCCGUCACGCUCUCUGCCGCCGAUGGGGUCAAUGCCACGUCCCCCAUGACCGUGGGGAGGGCUUUGCAGGUGCAGCUCUCCGUCCCGGUGCACUCGCUGCGCAUCACGGCUCACCACCCGAAGCACUACUUCGUCAUCUUCACUCAGUCGGCGCACCAGGUCAAUGUCGUGCGGCGUGGGUCCAUCCGGGUCGACGGCGCCGUCUUCAACAUAGCGUCCUAGCAUGACCACGACCACGUUUCCUUCGACUCUCUACUGCUCCAUGUCUGAUACAUGUCCAUCGUAUCUACUUUUCCGAACUCUUUUGUCCUUGUUUUGGACUCUAAUUUGCAUGAUUUGAAUGGAACUAACCCGGACUAACGCUGUUUUCAGCAGAAUUGCCAUGGUGUUGUUUUUGUGUAGAAAUAAAAGUUCUCGGAAUGUCCUGAAAAUUUACGGAGAAUUUUUCUGGAAUAAAAGAAAAAUACCUGCGCAAAGAUCAACCGGAGGGGGCGUGCUAGUGGGCCACAGCCACCCCCCUAGGCCACGCCGUGAGGGCUUGUGGGGCCCACGUGGCACCACCGCCCCCAAACUCAGCUAUAUUUAUUCCGUCUCCCCCGGAAAAAAUUAGAGAGAAGGUUUCAUCGCGUUUUACAAAAUGGAGGCGCCGCCACUUCCUGUUCUUCAUCUGGAGGGCAGAUCUGGAGUCCGUUUUGGGCUCCGGAGAGGGGAAAUCGUCGCCAUUGUCAUCAUCAACCUUCCUCCAUCGACAAUUCCAUGAUGCUCUUCAUCGUUCGUGAGUAAUCUCAUCGUAGGCUUGCUGGACGGUCAUGAGUUGGAUGAGAUCUAUCAUGUAAUCGAGUUUGUUUUGACGGGGAUUGAUCCCUAGUAUCCACUAUGUUCUAGAUUGAUGUUGGUACUACUUGGCUAUGCUUAAUGCUUGUCACUAGGGCCCGAGUGCCAUGAUUUCAAAUCUUAACCUAUUAUGUUAUCGCCAAUGUAUGUGUGUUUUAGAUCCUAUCUUGCAAGUUGUAGUCACCUACUAUGUGUUAUGACCCGACAACCCCGGAGUGACAAUAGCCGGAACCACUCCCGGAGAUGACCAUAGUAUGAGGAGUUCAUGUAUUCACCGCAUGUUAAUGCGUUGGUCCGGUUCUUUAUUAAAAGGAGAACCUUAAUAUCUCGUAGUUUCCAUUAGGACACCGCUGCCACGGGAGGGAUGGACAAUAGAUGUCAUGCAAGUUAUUUUCCCUAAGCACGUAUGACUACAUACGGAAUACAUGCCUACAUUAGAUUGACGAACGGGAGCUAGUUACAUAUCUCUCCGUGUUAUAGCUGUUAUAUGAUGAAUCACAUCCGUAACACUCAUCUAUCACCGAUCCACUGCCUACGAGUCUUUUACUACUGGUCCUUGCUACGUUACAUUGUCUAGGCUUGUCCAUUGCUACAAAAGGGAUUGGGCCACUUUGCUACUACUGUUGCUACUGCUUUUACUAUUGCUGCUGCUACUGUUGUUCCUUGCUACUGCUGUCACUUUGCUGUUACUUGUUGCAAGAUCUUUUCUGACACUGUUGUCGGGGAAGAAUAGUUACUCGCCCAUGUGCAACCUACUGGCGCCAUUGAUACAACAGUUAGGAAUAGUCUGCCGUCAACAGAUCGUUUGUGGCACUAUUGCUAUCAUACUACUUUGCUACUAAUACUCUGCUUGCAGACACUAAUCUUUCAGGUGUGGUUGAAUCUGAUAAACUGAACUGCUAAUACUUGAGAAUAUUCUUUCGCUUCCCCUUUGGCGAACCAACAAAUUUGGGUUGAAUACUCUACCCUCGAAAACUGUUGCGAUCCCCUAUACUUGUGGGUUAUCAAGACCUUUUUCUGGCGCCGUUGCCGGGGAGGCACAGCUAUAUUCUCUGAGUCACUUGGGAUUGACGUCUGUUGGUCACUAUGAGGAAUCCGAAAGAUCCAAGAACUAAAAUCUUGCCUUCCACUACGAGAAGAGGUAAGUAAUUGUCAUCUAGCUCUGCACUUGAUUCACCUUCAGUUUUGAGUAAGUUUGCGACUUCGCCUCUUGCUAGAAAUCUUGAUAUGUCGCCCGUGCUUGAUGAUGCUAGUUCUGCUGCCCAUGAUGCUUAUGAUGAUGCUAUGCUUGAUACUGUGUCUGAUGAUGUUAUGCUUGAUACUAUGCCUGAUGAUGCUAUGCUUGAUACUAUGCAUGCUGAUACCAUUGAAGUAGAACCUGCUACUAUGCCUGAAUUGCGUGUUAUGCCUGAUACGCGCUAUGUUAUGGAGGGAGAGAUAGCUGAGGAUUUUCUUGCGUGUAAAGAUAGCUAUGAUGUUGAGAAAUUACUGUGCAAGCGGAAAGAAAAAUCUCUGAACGCUAGGAUGAAAUACGACCCGAAGUUUGCAACUUCGCCUAUCUUUGUGACGGAUAAGGAUUAUGAAUUCUCUGUCGACCCUGAGUUAAUCACUCUGGUCGAAUAUGAUCCUUUUCAUGGUUAUGAGUCUGAAAUGGUUGUAGCCCAACUUACCAAACUGCACGAUAUAGCCACCCUAUUCACUAGUGAGGAAAAGAUCCGCCACCACUACAUGCUCAAGCUGUUUCCUUUCUCACUAAAGGAUGAUGCUAAGACUUGGUUCACUUCUCUUGCUCCUGGAUGUGUGCGUAGCCCCCAGUAUAUGGUCUACUACUUCUCUGAAAAAUAUUUCCCUGCCCAUAAGAAGCAAGCUGCCUUGCAAGAAAUAUACAACUUUGCUCAAGCUGAAGAAGAGAGUCUCCCACAAGCUUGGGGGAGGCUCAUCCAGCUACUGAAUGCUUUGCCUGAUCACCCUCUUGAGAAGAAUGAAAUACUUCAUAUCUUCUAUAAUGGACUUGCCGAUGCUUCCAAAGACCACCUAGAUAGUUGUGUUGGUUGUGUUUUUAGGGAACGAACCGUAGAACAAGCUGAGAUUCUACUGAACAAUAUCUUGUGCAAUGAGAAUGCUUGGACUAUUCCCGAACCACCUCCUAAGCCAACUCCAAAGAAAAGAGGUAUUCGAUUCCUCAGUCCUGAAGAUAUGCAAGAAGCAAAGAAAUCUAUGCGAGAGAAAGGCAUUAAAUCUGAAGAUGUCAAAAAUCUACCACCUAUCGAAGAGAUCCAUGGUCUCGAUAACCCGAUACAGGUAGUAGAAGUAAAUUAUCUGCGUAGCUUUGAUGAGAGUGAUAUUCCUUUUGAUAAACCUGCUAGCUUAUGCCUGGAUGAAUUUGAUAACUUUGUUGCCAAACAACAGAGUUUCAAUGAUUAUGUUAGCACACAAUUGGAAAAGAAUGCUCGUAUGCUUAAUCAUUUAAGUGCUUGUGUGGACAGAAAUGUCAAGGAACUUAAGAUUCUGAGUAAACAUGCCUCUAUGGUUACUACUCCGGUAGAACAAGUACUUAAAGCUCAGAAUGACUUGCUCAAUGAGUUGAAUGACAAUUCCGUCAGAGUCGUUACUAGAGGCGGUAGAAUGACACAUGAACCUUUGUAUCUUGAGGUUCAUCCGAAGAGGAUUGAACAAGAUUCUCAAGGACUUAGCACUGAUGCACCUAGUCAUCCUAGAAAGAACAAGAAAGAUGAUAGGAACCUGCAUGCUAGCAACCCUAUUGCUGCUACACCUGAGAGUCCAAACGAUGCCUCUGUCUCUGAUGCUGAAACACAAUCUGGUGAUGAACAUGAGCCUAAUGAUAAUAUCAAUAGUGAUGUUCAUGAAGAUGCUCAACCUAGCAAUGAUAAGGAUGUGGAGAUUGAAGCUGUUGAUCUUGAUAACCCACACACUAAGACUAAGAGAUACGAUAAGAAUGACUUCGCUGCUAGGAAGUGAUGACCCACAAGUAUAGGGGAUCAAUCAUAGUCCUUUCGAUAAGUAAGAGUGUCGAACCCAACGAGGAGCAGAAGGAUCUGACAAGUCGUUUUCAGCAAGGUAAAAUCUGCAUACACUGAAAUUGUCGGUAACAAUUGAUUGUGUGGCGAGAUGAUUCGUAGCAAGCAACAAGUAACAAAAGUAGCAACGAUGCAGCAAAGUGGCCCAAUCCCUUUUGUAGCAAGGGACGAGCCUGGACAAAGUCUUAUAGGAGGAAAAACGCUCCCGAGGACACACGAGAAUUUCUGUCAUGCUAGUUUCAUCAUGUUCAUAUGAUUCGCGUUUGUUACUUUGAUAGUUUGAUAUGUGGGUGGACCAACGCUUGGGUACUUCCCUUACUUGGACAAGCAUCCCACUUAUGAUUAACCCCUCUCGCAAGCAUCCGCAACUACGAAAGAAGAAUUAAGACAAAGUCUAACCAUAGCAUUAAACUAGUGGAUCCAAAUCAGCCCCUUACGAAGCAACGCAUAAACUAGGGUUUAAGCUUUUCUCACUCUAGCAACCCAUCAUCUACUUACUACUUCCCAAUGACUUCCUCUAGGCCCAAAUAAUGGUGAAGUGUUAUGUAGUCGACGUUCACAUAACACCACUAGAGGAAAAACAAUAUACAACAUAUCAAAUUACCGAACGAAUACCAAAUUCACAUGACUACUAUUAGCAUGACUUAUCCCAUGUCCUCAGGAACAAAAGUAACUACUCACAAAGCAUAAUCAUAAUCAUGAUCAGAGAGGUAAUGAGUAGCAUCAAGGAUCUGAACAUAAACUCUACCACCAAAUAAUCCAACUAGCAUCAACUACAAAGAGUAAUCAACACUACUAGCAACCUUACAAGUACCAAUCGGAGUCGCGAGACAGAGAUUGGUUACAAGAGAUGAACUAGGGUAUGGAGAUGAGAUGGUGCUGAUGAAGAUGUUGAUGGUGACGAGUCCCCUCUGAUGAGAGGAGUGUUGGUGAUGACGAUGGCGAUGAUUUCCCCCUCCAGGAGGGAAGUUUCCCCCGCAGGAUUGUCCUGCCGGAGCUCUAGAUUGGUUCUGCUCAAGUUCCGUCUUGUGGCGGCGGCGAAACCACGAAAAAGUUGUCUUCUGAUUUUUUUUCCUGGACGAAACCCUCCAUAUAGCAAAAGAGGGGGGCCAGUGGGCCAGUGGGCUGCCCACAAGCCCCCAUGGCGCGGCCUGGGGGGUGGCUGCGCCGUGCAGGCUUGUGGGCACCCCCUGGUGCCCCUCUGGCACUUCUUCGGCCCAGUAUUUUUCAUAAAUUGGGAAAAAAAUCCCCAUUGAUUUUCACGGCGUUUGGAGUUGCGCAUAAUAGGUAUCUCAACUUUGCUCCACUUUCAGGCCAGAAUUCCAGUUGCCGGUAUUUUCCCUCUUCAUGUAAACCUUGCAAAAUAAGAGAGAAAAGGCAUAAGAAUAGUAUCGUGAAGUGAAAUAACAGCCAAAGAAGCGAUAAAUAUCAACAUGAAAACAUGAUGCAAAAUGGACGUAUCAACUCCCCCAAGCUUAGACCUCGCUUGUCCUCAAGCGAAAGCCUAGCUCAAUAAAUAUGUCCACAUGUUUAGGGAGAGAGGUGUCAACAAAACAAGAUACGAACAUGCAUGCAUCAUGAUCAAGAUCGGAACAGCAAUACCAACAAAUAAUCUCUCAUGCUAAAGUGAUAAUUCCUUCACAAAGUAAAGCAUGGAUCAAGAACCUUACCGAGAAGUAACAACUGAUAGCCUUUAGUCAUUGAAGCAACUGCAAUUUAUCACAACAUCAGAAAGAGUCAAUAAGAGCUUGUAAAGCAAAUCCACAUACUCAAUCAAUCUUUCGUUCUCUAUAAUUGCUACAACUCACGUGGUACUCAUGAGAUCAAAGUUUCAGCUGGACACAGAGAAAGAUAGGGGCUUAUAGUUUUGCCUCCCAACUGCUUACCUCAAGGGUAAUGUCAACAAUAAUAAUUCAUGAAUACUUACCUCCAAGUUGACAUAUGAAUAUAGAUCUUUCCCAAGCAUGUGACGGUAGCCAAGACAAAGGCGAAAUAAGGAAUUGGUGAAGAUCACCAUGACUCUUUCAGGGACAAAAGGUAAAAGUACAAGAUAGGCCCUUCGCAGAGGGAAGCAGAGGUUGUCAUGCGCUUUUGAGGUUUGGAUGCGUGUCCUCUUAGUGCGGAGGAACGUCACUUUAUAUUGCCUCCUGUGAUAAAGAACUUCGUUAUGCAGUCUUUCGCUUUUAUGUCUUCCUCAUCACAUAUUAGAGAGCAUUUUUAUUGCUUGCACCGAUGACAACCUACUUGAGGGAUCUUAUUCAAUCCAUAGGUAGGUAUGGUGGACACUCAUGGCAAAACUGGGUUGAAGGUUUAUGGAUGCACAAGUAGUAUCUCUACAUGGUACGGGAGGUUUUCGCUAAUAUGAGGCGAAAGCAAUCGUCACAUGCUAAGGGAUCUCUAGUCAUAUAACAUUGUUCAGAGCCAAGCAAACACAAUUCAUUACGUUGUCUUCCUUGUCCAACAUCUACUUCUAGGCAUGCAAUAGUUUGGUGAGUGUUCACAAUCAUAGAUGGUGUCAGAGAUGAUACAUUUAUAUGUGAACCUCUCCUUCUUUAUCACUUCCUAUUAAUUGAAACAGUGACCAAGGUCUACGUUUUCCUACUCUUAACAAGUUUCAAUCCUCAUUCUUUUUAUAUGUGAAGCCAUCACUUCCCAUAAGAUCAUUACAUGAUCUUUCAUGCUUUUGUUCUAUUCUCACUCUUUUGAUCAUGGCAAGAGGCAAAGCCCUUCAACUAAGACACUCUUUAUUAUAUGGCUCACGAGCAAGAAUACAUCGAGGGUGACACAAAGAAAAACUCAAGACUAAAACACUAAGACUUUUAAACUACAAGAGAAAGAGAAAACUGAAAAGGAAAACUAAAACAAAGGUAAAGGCAAAAGAUGUGAUGGUGAUACGAUACCGGGGCAACUCCCCCAAGCUUGGCACAAGCCAAGGGGAUUGCCCAUACCCAUGCUCAGUUGUCUUCCUGUGGUGGUGAAGGUGAUGGAGUUGUUGCAAUCUUUGACUCCAAGAGGGCCAUUAAUCUUUGAUUUAUACCUUGAAGAUCUGCGAUAUGUUUUUCCAGCAAAACAACUUCACGAGUGAGACAAGUAUUGCGAGCACGAGUUGUUUCAAAAAACCUCAAGAGUUCAAUCAAAGAUGGAGACAGUAGGUGGAGGUAAGGUUGAAGGAAAUCCACUUCUUCAACUUCUUCCUUGUUGAGCACAGAUUGCACUUCGUCCCAUGCUUGAUCCUUCUCCUUAGCUUUGCCCUUGGUUUCUUUCGGUAGCCUCUCCUUAGCCUCCAUCACCCCCAUCCUUUUCAGAUCAGCAUGAACUUCUCCAUAGAUUUUACGGAGGUUGUUCUCCCCCACAGAUUCCUGGGACGUCAUCUUGACCUAGAUCUGCGGCAGAAAACAGGCUCGAAACGAAAAACAGAGGAAAUCUGCGUGAUGCAGGGGUCAGACCAAACGGAAGUAUAUAUAAUGAUUUUUUCUAGACCAGAAGGAGUCCCCUGCACGAAAACGGAGUCCGGGAGGCGCACGAGGUGGCCACAAGCCCUCACGGCGUGGCCAGGGGGUGGGCCCGCGUCGUGCACGCUUGUUGCCUCCUCGCGCACUUUCCGGACUACUUCCAAUUUUUGUAUUUUUUUCAAAAAAUCCAAAACGGAGAAAAUUUCCUACUGGAAAAGUUUUGGACUCUGCUUUCUUACCGAAUCACAUACCUCUUCGUUUUCGGAGUCUGAAACAGGCUGAUAAAUGUCCCUUUGGUAUUCUUCCAGAGUUAUGGUAUUCAUGAUGUUGCUUUCAACAUUUAUGGGAGUACCUGAGAUAUAAUGCUUGAUUCUCUGCCCAUUUACCACUCUCGGACAAUUACCUUCCGUGUUGUUGAUCUUGAUAGCACCGGAACGAUAUACUUCCUCAACAACAUAGGGACCUUCCCAUUUAGAGAGAAGCUUGCCUGCAAAGAAUCUUAAAUGAGAGUUAUAUAGCAAGACAUAAUCACCUAUAUUGAACUCACGCUUUUGUAUCCUCUUAUCAUGCCACCUCUUAACCUUCUAUUUGAAAAGCUUGGCAUUCUCAUAUGCUUGAGUUCUCCACUCAUCAAGCGAGCUAAUGUCAAAUAACCUCUUCUCACCGGCAAGUUUGAAAUCAAAGUUGAGCUCUUUGAUUGCCCAAUAAGCUUUAUGCUCUAGCUCAAGAGGUAAGUGACAUGCUUUCCCAUACACCAUUUUGUACGGAGACAUGCCCAUGGGAUUCUUAUAGGCAGUUCUAUAAGCCCACGGUGCAUCAUCGAGCUUCUUAGACCAAUUCUUUCUAGACCUGUUGAUAGUCUUUUGCAGAAUCAAUUUAAUCUCUCUAUUACUUAUCUCUACUUGACCACUGGACUGAGGGUGAUAGGGAGACACAAUUCUAUGGUUGACAUCGUACUUAGCAAGCGUUUUACGGAAAGCACCAUGAAUGAAGUGUGAACCACCGUCGCUCAUUAGAUAUCUAGGUACUCCAAAUCUAGGGAAGAUAACUUCUUUCAACAUCUUGAUAGAGGUGUUGUGAUCAACACUACUAGUGGGGAUAGCUUCUAUCCACUUAGUGAUGUAAUCAACAGCAACUAAGAUGUGAGUAUACCCAAUGGAUUUUGGAAAAGGUUCCAUAUAAUCAAAGCCCCAGAUAUCAAAUGGUUCAAUGACAAGUGAAUAGUUCAUAGGCAUUUCCUGACGUUUGCUAAUAUUACCUAUUCUUUGAAAUUUGUCACAAGACAAAACAAACUUACGGGCAUCCUUGAAGAGAGUGGGCCAAUAGAAACCUGAUUGCAAUACCUCGUGUGCAGUUCUAUCUCCCGCAUGGUGUCCUCCGUAGGCCUCGGAGUGACACUUCUGUACGAUCUGUCCCUGUUCAUUUUCAGGUACGCAACAUCUAAUAACACCAUCUACUCCUUCCUUAUAAAGGUGAGGAUCAUCCCAAAAGUAGUGUCUCAAGUCAAAGAAGAAUUUCUUCUUUUACUGGUACGUGAAACUAGGUGGUAUGUAUUUGGCAACGAUAUAGUUCGCAUAAUCAGCAUACCAUGGCGCACUACGUGAAGCAUUGAUGACAUUAAAUUGCUCAUCGGGAAAGCUAUCAUCAAUAGGUUGUGGGUCAUCAAGAACGUUCUCCAACCUAGACAAGUUAUCUGCUACUGGGUUAUCAGCACCCUUUCUGUCGACAAUGUGCAAAUCAAAUUCUUGUAGCAAGAGAACCCAUCUGAUAAGUCUAGGUUUAGCGUCCUUCUUCUCCAUGAGGUACUUAAUAGCAGCAUGAUCAGUGUGAAUAGUGACUUUGGAAUCAACUAUGUAAGACCUGAACUUUUCACAUGCAAACACGACUGCUAAAAAUUCCUUCUCCGUACUAGCAUAGUUUCUUUGGGCACGGUCUAGAGUUUUACUAGCGUAGUGAAUAACAUUCAACUUCUUAUCAACUCUUUGCCCUAGAACAGCACCAACAGCAUAAUCACUAGCGUCACACAUGAUUUCAAAAGGUAAGUUCCAAUCAGGUGGUUGAACAAUAGGUGCAGUUAUCAAAGCCCUCUUAAGUAUUUCGAGGGCUUCCUCACAAUCAUCGUCAACGACAAAAGGAAUAUCCUUUUGCAAGAGAUUGGUAAGAGGCGUGGAAAUCUUAGAGAAGUCUUUAAUGAACCUUCUAUAGAAACCAGCAAGACCAAGGAAACUUCUUAUCCCUUUGAUAUCUGUGGGGUAUGGCAUUUUCUCGAUUGCAUCAACCUUAGCCUUAUCGACUUCAAUACCUCUUUCAGAAAUUUUGUGUCCUAAGACGAUGCCUUCAUUAACCAUAAAGUGGCACUUCUCCCAAUUCAAGACAAGAUUGGUGUCUUUACAUCUCUGUAAGACUCGAUCAAGGUUGCUGAGGCAAUCAUCAAAAGAAGACCCGUAAAUGGAAAAGUCAUCCAUGAAAACCUCGACAAUCUUUUCACAAAAGUCAGAGAAUAUAGCCAUCAUACAUCUUUGAAAGGUGGUAGGUGCAUUACAUAAGCCAAAAGGCAUAUGUCUAUAAGCAAAGGUACCGAAAGGGUAGGUGAAAGUGGUUUUCUCCUGAUCAGAUUGUGCAACAGGUAUUUGGGAGAAACCAGAAUAACCGUCUAGAAAGCAGAAGUGUGUGUGUUUAGACGGCCUUUCUAGCAUUUUGUCGAUAAAAAGGCAGAGGGUAAUGAUCUUUCCUAGUGGCUUUGUUCAGUUUCCUAAAAUCGAUCACCAUCCUAUAGCCAGUAAUAAUCCUCUGUGGGAUCAAUUCAUCCUUAUCAUUAGGGACAACGGUAAUGCCUCCCUUCUUAGGGACGCAAUGCACCGGACUCACCCAAUCGCUAUGAGCAACAGGAUAAAUGAUACCUGCUUCCAGGAGCUUUAGUAUUUCUUUUCUUACUACUUCUUUCAUCUUAGGAUUUAAUCUCCUUUGAUGAUCAACAACUGGUUUGAAAUCAGGAUCAGUUUUAAUCUUGUGCUGGCAUAGAGUAGGACUAAUGCCCUUAAGAUCAUCAAGAGUAUAUCCAAUAGCAGCACGGUGCUUCCUCAGAGUUAUUAGCAACUUCCUUUCUUCAUGCUCCGAGAGGCUAGCACUAAUAAUGACAUGAUAUAUCUCCUUUUCAUCAAGAUAGGCAUACUUAAAUGUAUCAGGCAACUGUUUAAGCUCGAACACAGGAUCACCCUUUGGUGCAGGUGGAUCCCCAAGUAGUUCAACAGGCAAGUUAUUCUUAAGGAUAGGAUAUUGUUCUAAGACAACUCUAUAUAUCUCAUCCCUUUCAUCCAUAUGCAUAUCAUUUUCAUGCUCAAGCAAGUGUUGCUCUAAGGGAUCAGUAGGAGGCACGCCAAUAGAAGCUAAGGCAAUAGUUUCAUCCCUACUAGGCAACUCCUUUUCAUGAGGUUGUCUACCAAACUUAGAGAAAUUGAACUCAUGUGACACACCUUCAAAGCCAACAGUGACAGUUUGCUUCUCACAAUCAAUAUGAGCAUUGACGGUAUUGAGAAAAUGUCUACCAAAUAUGAUGGGACAGAAGCUGUCUUGUGCGGUAGCAAGAACGAGGAAAUUAGCAGGAUACUUCGUUUUACCACACAAGACUUCAACAUCCCUAACAAUUCCCACAGGGCAGAUAGUAUCUCUAUUGGCAAGUUGAAUAGUGACAUCUAUAGGUUCUAUCUCUACAGGUGCAAUCUCAUCUUUGAUUUCAUCGUAUAAGGAUUGAGGUAUUGCACUAACACUAGCACCCAUGUCACAUAAACCAUCAUAACAAUGAUCUCCUAUCUUAACAGAAACCACAGGCAUGCCAACAACAGGCCUAUGUUUGUCUCUAACGUGAGGUUUAGAAAUUCUAGCAGCAUCUUCACAGAAGUGAAUAUUAUGUCCCUCAACUUCUUCAGACAAAAGAUCUUUGAUAAUAGCAAUGCUAGGUUCAACUCUAACUUGCUCAGGGGGUGUAGGUGUUCUAAUAUAGCCUCUACGUAUCAUAGUUGAAGCUUUAGAAUGAUCCUUUAUCCUAAUAGGGAAAGGUGGUUUCUCAAUGUAAGCACUGGGUACCACACGAUCAUUAUAGGCAAUGACUUUAUCUUCAACUGGAGUGGGUUUAACUACAUUAACUUCUAACGGAGGAUGAUAUUUAAACCACUUAUCUUUGGGGAGACCAAUAUGAGCAGCAAAGGAUUCACACAAUGAAGCUACUAUCUCAGAGUCAAGUCCAUACUUAGCGCUAAAAUCACUAAAGGUAUUUGUCUCAACAAAGGAUUUAACGCAAUCAAACGUGAAAUUCAUACCUGAAUCCUUACCUUCUUCAAGCUCCCAAUCUUCAGAGUUGCGUUUAAUUCUCUCCAAUAAAUUCCAUUUGAAGUCGAUAUCUCUCUUCAUAAAAGAACCAGUACAAGAAGUGUCAAGCAUGGUGCGAUCAUCUUGAGAAAGUCGAGCAUAGAAGUUCUGAAUGAUAAUUUCUCUCAAGACCUCAUGAUUGGGGCAUGAAUAUAGCAUUGAUUUAAGCCUCCCCCAAGCUUGAGCGAUGCUUUCUCUGUCACGAGGCCAAAAAUUAUAAAUAUAAUUCCGAUCACGAUGUACUAAAUGCAUAGGAUAAAACUUUUGAUGAAAUUCCAAUAUCAACCGAUUGUAGUCCCAUGAUCCAGUAUCAUCACAUAGCCUAUACCAUGUCAACGCCUUAUCCUUCAAAGAUAAAGGAAAGACCUUCUUCUUGACCUCAUCCUCGGGCACACCUACAAGCUUAAAUAAACCACAAACCUCAUCUACAUACAUUAGAUGCAAGUCUAGAUUUGAUGUUCCAUCUCCUGUAAAAGGAUUAGCCAGUAGUUUCUCAAGCAUACCCGAAGGAAAUUCAAAGAAAAUAUUUUCAGUAGGUGCAGAAGGUUGAGGAGCAACUCUUUGUGCUUCCGUUCAAGGUGAAGAUACCCCGAACAAGCCCCUCAAAGUAUUAGUAUCCAUAGUGACAAGUGACAAGAAAUUUCAGCACACUAUAUGAAUGUUUCCUUACCAAGUUCUACUUACCAAAGGCGCUACACUCCCCAGCAACGGUGCCAGAAAAGAGUCUUGAUGACCCACAAGUAUAGGGGAUCAAUCGUAGUCCUUUCGAUAAGUAAGAGUGUCGAACCCAACGAGGAGCAGAAGGAUCUGACAAGUGGUUUUCUGCAAGGUAAAAUCUGGAGGCACUGAAAUUGUCGGUAACAAGUGACUGUGUGGUGAGAUGAUUUGUAGCAAGCAACAAGUAACAAAAGUAGCAACGGUGCAGCAAAGUGACCCAAUACCUUUUGUAUCAAGGGACAAGCCUGGACAAAGUCUUAUAGGAGGAAAAACGCUCCCGAGGACACAUGGGAAUUUCUGUCAUGCAAGUUUCAUCAUGUUCAUACGAUUCGCGUUCGUUACUUUGAUAGUUUGAUAUGUGGGUGGACCGGCGCUUGGGUAUUGCCCUUACUUUGACAAGCAUCCCACUUAUGAUUAACCCCUCUCGCAAGCAUCCGCAACUACGAAAGAAGAAUUAAGACAAAGUCUAACCAUAACAUUAAACUAGUGGAUCCAAAUCAGCCCCUUACGAAGCAACGCAUAAACUCGGGUUUAAGCUUCUGUCACUCUAGCAACCCAUCAUCUACUUACUACUUCCCAAUGACUUCCUCUAGUCCCAAAUAAUGGUGAAGUGUUAUGUAGUCAACGUUCACAUAGCACCACUAGAGGAAAAACAACAUACAACAUAUCAAAUUACCGAACGAAUACCAAAUUCACAUGACUACUAUUAGCAUGACUUAUCCCAUGUCCUCAGGAACAAAAGUAACUACUCACAAAGCAUAAUCAUAAUCAUGAUCAGAGAGGUAAUGAGUAGCAUCAAGGAUCUGAACAUAAACUCUUCCACCAAAUAAUCCAACUAGCAUCAACUACAAAGAGUAAUCAACACUACUAGCAACCUUACAAGUACCAAUCGAAGUCGCGAGACGGAGAUUGGUUACAAGAGAUGAACUAGGGUUUGGAGAUGAGAUGGUGCUGAUGAAGAUGUUGAUGGUGACGAGUCCCCUCCGAUGAGAGGAGUGUUGGUGAUGACGAUGCGACGAUUUCCCCCUCCGGGAGGGAAGUUUCCUCGUGGCGGCGGCGAAACCACGAAAAAGCUCUCUUCUGAUUUUUUUUCCUGGACGAAACCCUUUAUAUAGCAAAAGGGGGGGCGGGCAGUGGGCCAGUGGGCUGCCCACAAGCCCCCAUGGCGCAGCCUGGGGGGUGGUCACGCCGUGCAGGCUUGUGGGCACCCCCUGGUGCCCCUCUGGCACUUCUUCGGCCGAGUAUUUUUGACAAAUUGGGAAAAAAGCCCCGUUGAUUUUCACGACGUUUGGAGUUGCGCAGAAUAGGUAUCUCUACUUUGCUCCACUUUCAGGCCAGAAUUCCAGUUGCCGGUAUUCUCCCUCUUCAUGUAAACCUUGCAAAAUAAGAGAGAAAAGGCAUAAGAAUAGUACCGUGAAGUGAAAUAACACCUAAAGAAGCGAUAAAUAUCAACAUGAAAGCAUGAUGCAAAAUGGACGUAUCAGGAAGCAUGGUAAAGAAAGGGAACCAUGGGUUCAGAAACCCAUGCCCUUUCCUCCCAAACCAUCCAAGAAAAAGGAUGAUGAGGAUUUUGAGCGAUUCGUUGAAAUGAUCAGACCUGUCUUUCUGCAGAUGCGUUUGACAGAUAUGCUCAAAAUGUCUCCGUAUGCUAAGUACAUGAUGGAUAUUGUGACUACUAAGAGGAGGAUACCUGAGGUUGAGAUUUCCACCAUGCUUGCUAACUAUACCUUCAAGAGUGGAACUCCUAAGAAACUAGGUGAUCCCGGUGUACCCACUAUACCUUGCUCCAUUAAAGGCAACUACGUUAGAACUGCGUUAUGCGAUCUUGGAGCCGGUGUUAGUGUUAUGCCUCUCUCUCUUUAUCGUAGACUUAAACUGGAUAAGUUGACACCCACUGAAAUCUCUCCGCAAAUGGCAGACAAAUCAACUGCUUUCCAUAUCGGCAUUUGCGAGGAUGUGCCUGUUGUGGUUGCUAACACCACUAUCUUAACAGACUUUGUUAUCUUGGAUAUUCCCGAGGACGAUGUCAUGGAUGUCAUCCUCGGAAGACCCUUUUUAAACACUGCAUGGGCUGUUAUAGAUUGCAACAAAGGCAAUGUCACUUUACAUGUCAACGGUAAAGAUCAUACGGUGCACUUUCCGAAGAAACAAUAUCGAGUACAUUGCGUCAAUGCUAUCGAAAAAACUUCAUCGAUUCUUAUUGGGAGCUUUGAAUGCCCUAUUCCUCGUGUCAAGAUGAAGUAUGAUUUGCUUGUUGGGGAGAUACAUAUCCCCAUUGAGGUGACCUAGUGACUAUUCAAAAAUUCUCUGUUCUCUUUUGCGAUUCGAAAAGGUUUGUCAAAGAGGCUUGAUCAACCUCACUAACGGAUUUCUUUCGAUGACCAUGAGAUGGAUGAAUCGAGGAGUCACAAACCUCUGUUCCAAGCUUUCACCUUCGGUUUCUUAGAAGAAAAAUGAUAGAUUUAGUUUAGUUUUCCCUGUUUUCUGUUUUAACGUCCGAUAGAAAAGUACCCCGAAAAUAAAAGUUCUUCGAACGUCCUGAAAUCUAGUAUGAUUUUUUCUGGAAUUCUUGAAAAAUUCUGAGACAAAGAGCUUGUCUGGGGGCCACACCAGUGGGCCACAAGCCCUAGGGGCGCGGGCACCCCCCCUGGCCGCGCCACCCAGGCUUGUGGGGCCCACAGGCACCCCCUCCACUCACUCUUGCUCUCAUCUGGUUCUCCUACCUCCAGAAAAAAAUUGUUUCGCGGCUCAAACCCGUGUUCUUGCUCCUCUUGCUGGGAUUUUCAAUCUCUUUGCUCAAAUCACCAUUCUCCGAACUGUUUUGGGGAAAUUACUCCUUGGUAAGUGACUCCUCCAUUGGUCCAAUUAGUUUUUGCUCUAGUGCCUUAUACUCCGCGUAUUUUUGCUGCCUUGGUGACCAUGUUCUUGAGAUUUGCAUGCUGAUUUUAGUUGGUCCCAAGUAGUUUUGAUGCGUAAUAUGGCCUCUAGGCAAUUGUGUGAGUAGUUGCUACGAGUUUAGUUGAGCCUUAUUCACUUUUUCUUAGAGUCACUAAAAAUUUCAGAAAUUUUCAGAGAUAGAAAAGGGAAAAGAUGAGGAGGUUCUUAAGAGGCUUGUCAAGCCGUGACCCCAAGGAUGAUGGGAGUGAGAAGAAGCCAAAGUAUCUGGUCCCUCGAGUCGCGGAAGUUCGAGCGUGCGAGUGGCCAAGCGACGUGUUCUUACGCGCCGCUGGAAUUUAUGAGGACUUCUAAAACUUGGUGGAGAACGCAGGCCUUACCGCCUUCGUUGAAGAUAAGUGUCCGGAAUACCUCCUGCUCACUAAUAUCUUCGUACAAAGAUUUAACUUCUAUCCGAGGAAGAAUCCUCCUAUGGUUGAGUUCAAAAUUUAUGAUAUCCCCCAGCGCAUGUCACUCUAGGAUUUUUGCAAUGUUUGCAAAUUACCUUACGUUGGGGAUAUUCAUGAACCUCGUCCACGGGACUUGGAGGCUUUCAUCGGUACAAUUGUUGUAGGAGAAGAGAGAGGAGUGUCUUGCGCUAGAGCUGCUAGCAUUCAUUUUCCCGUGCUUAGGUACUUCUCAUUAUUUGUGGGAAAAUGUUUGAUUGGCCGUGGGAAAGUUGGGUCACUUAGUUCUCCAGAUCUUGCGGUCUUGCGCGAAGCCCUUUAUAAUGAUAAAACUUAUAGCUUGGGCGCUAUAGUAGCUCAACGGUUGAACCUGAACCGUUCUAAAGGUGUUGUCUAUGGAGGUAUCUAUGCUACCCGUCUUGCCAGACACUUUGAGAUACCCAUUAGACUAGAGGAGGAAGAAGAGGUUCUUCUUCCCGAGAGAUAUCUAGAUUACAAUAGCACAGUUCACCAUGACUUUCUUGAUAGAGAUAUCAAUAGAAGGAUGAUUAUAACCUGGUAUUUAGUCAGGGUACUCGUGAGACUAUUACUUUCCCUGCUCCUUCUUUGUUCAAUCUUCAUGCAGGCAGGUACACUAUUAUGCCCUUGGACAUCUACGCAUAUUGGGGCUUAGCCCAACCAUAGGUGCCCGUGCCCGAGCCACCAGUCGAGUACCAGACGCCAGUUUAUCAGUGGGAGCCGGAGGAGCUCACACAGCAGUGGCAUCCUCAGUCCACCCCGGAGUACCCCGGAGCUGGUUAUUUCCCUCCUUGGGAGUAUACCAAGUUAGGCCAAAAGCCUAAGCUUGGGGGAGUACGUGUUCUCACCGAAUUUACAUUCUUGCUUAUGCUUUCACUUUGUUAGCCGGUGUUCACACUUUGCCACUGUAUCAUCCAUGCUAGUUUAUUUUCUUUUUUUUCUCGUUUUCUUUUCGUGUGUCUGUCUAGUUUGAGAAAACCCAAAAAGAUUUUCUUUUUCUUCUUUUGCUUGUUGGGAGCUAUCCUGUGUAGAUAGUUUUCUUUUUCUUUGGGUCAAGGUAGAAGAUAUUGGUUACAAUGUUUAGUGGCUCUUGCAUGCAUACCUGUUUAGCUUUCAAAGAGCCAUAUUACUCUGUCUUCUCCUUUGUGUUUGCCUGCAGAUUCCAACGUAGUCCAAUGCACGAGCACGCUUAUUAUUGUUCACAUCGUUCGGUCGUGCAAGUGAAAGGCAAUAAUGACGAUAUAUGAUGAAGUGACUGAGCCUGGAAAAGCUGGUAUGAACUCGAUCUAUUUUGUUUUUGUAAAUAUGACUAGCUCAUCAUGCCUGAUUUAGCUUUGUUGUGAGAGAAACAUGUUUGCAAUGACAACUUAGAGAUCAUAGUUUCUUAUGCCAUGCUUACUUAGCUAGGAGCUUAUAAUGGUUUGUCUUGGUUGCCAACAUGAAUGUUGAGAUGACUAUGAUGUAGUAUGAUAGGAUGGUAUCCUCCUUUGAAUGUUUCAAGUGGCUUGACUUGGCGCAUGUUCACGCAUGUAGUUGAAACAAAAUCAACAUAGCCUCUAUGAUGUUCAUGUUCAUGGUGAUGUAUGUCCUACUCAUGCUUGCCCUCAAUGUUAGUUAAUCUCAAUGCAUUUUGAUGACUGUUGUCGCUCUCUAGUUGGUCGCUUCCCAGUCUUUUUCUAGCCUUCACUUGUACUAAGCGGGAAUACUGCUUGUGCAUCCACUUCCACAAACCCAAAGUUGUUCCAUAUGAGUCCACCAUACCUACCUAUGUGCGGUAUCUACCUGCUGUUCCAAGUAAAUUUGCAUGUGCCACUCUCUAAAUCUUGAAGAAAUAAUCUGUUUUGCAUGCCCGAACUGCUCAUGUGGUGACAGGGGGCUAUUGGUAUCUUCCAUGUUAGGCGUCUUAACCUUGAUAUGUGUUUAUUCACUAUCAUUCAUGAGAAAGGGGCCGGUAAUUGGAAUUCCUAGUUCCAUACUCAAAUCGAAAAGAUAAUUGCAAACAAAACUCCCCCAGGAUUGAUGUUGGUAUGGACGGUACUCGAGGAUUCGGCUAGCCGUGGAGUGUGAUUGAUUGGUGGUGGGGGAGUCGAAACUUUACUUUUCUGUUUGGGACCCGCCUAUAGCAUGUGUAGCGUGGAAGAUGUUGAGAACUCUUAGUCAUUGCAUUGACAAUGAAAAGCAUGCCACCCAAAAUUAUUAUCUCUGUUUUCAAAGCUUGAGCUCUGGCACCUCUGCAAAUCAAUGCUUCCCUCUGCGAAGGGUCUGUCUAUUUAUGUUCCUGUUGAGUCAUCCUCCUCUUACAAAAGCACCAAUUAGAGAGCGACUCUGUCAUUUUUAUGCUUUGCUUUUAACUGUGUUGAGUAUGACUAUGACUGGAUCUUCAUUGCUUUGAAUUACAAUGUUUAGUCAGCCCUUGGUCUUUGAAGGUGCUCUGCAUUUAUGUUUUGCGGUCUCAGAAAGAGCUAGCGAGAUACCAUCUAUUCGUACUACUUCAUGUUGUUUUGAUUGAAGUGUUGACGUUUGAGACUUAUUAUUAUUUGCUUGCUAAUUGAUUAUGCCAUUGAUAUGAGUUUACCGUGAGACCUAGAUGUCAUUUGCUUAUGUGGUUUGCUUGUGAUCUUGCUGAAAUUCUGGUUAUGAGUUAGACAUAGUUGCAACAACAAGAUCAAACAGAGUUCGUCAAAGUUUUUCUUUUGUCUCUUUCAGUUUGUGAACUGAAUUGCUUGAGGACAAGCAAGGCUUUAAGCUUGGGGGAGUUGAUACGUCUCCGUCGUAUCACCUUUUCCGAACUCUUUUGCCCUUGUUUUGGACUCUAAUUUGCAUGAUUUGAAUGGAACUAACCCGGACUAACGCUGUUUUCAGCAGAAUUGCCAUGGUGUUGUUUUUGUGCAGAAAUAAAAGUUCUCGGAAUGUCCUGAAAAUUUACGAAGAAUUUUUCUGGAAUAAAAGAAAAAUACCUACGCAAAGAUCCACCGGAGGGGGUGUGCCGGUGGGCCACAAGCCCUUGGGCCGCGGCCACCUCCCUAGUCCGCGCUGUGAGGGCUUGUGGGGCCCACGUGGCACCGCCGCCCCCAAACUCAGCUCUAUUUAUUCCGUCUCGCCCGGAAAAAAAAUCAGAGAGAAGGUUUCAUCGCGUUUUACGAUACGGAGGCGCCGCCACCUCCUGAUCUUCAUCUGGAGGGCAGAUCUGGAGUCCGUUUUGGGCUCCGGAGAGGGGAAAUCGUCGUCAUCGUCAUCAUCAACCUUCCUCCAUCGACAAUUCCAUGAUUCUCUUCAUCGUUCGUGAGUAAUCUCAUCGUAGGCUUGCUGGAAGGUGAUGAGUUGGAUGAGAUCUAUCAUGUAAUCGAGUUAGUUUUGACGGGGAUUGAUCCCUAGUAUCCACUAUGUUCUAGAUUGAUGUUGCUACUACUUGGCUAUGCUUAAUGCUUGUCACUAGGGCCCGAGUGCCAUGAUUUCUGAUCUGAACCUAUUAUGUUAUUGCCAAUAUAUGUGUGGUUUAGAUCCUAUCUUGCAAGUUGUAGUCACCUACUAUGUGUUAUGACCCGGCAACCCCGGAGUGACAAUAUCCGGAACCACUCCCGGAGAUGACCAUAGUAUGAGGAGUUCAUGUAUUCACCGCGUGUUAAUGCGUUGGUCCGGUUCUUUAUUAAAAGGAGAACCUUAAUAUCCCGUAGUUUCCAUUAGGACCCUGCUGCCACGGGAGGGAUGGAUAAUAGAUGGCAGCCAAGUUCUUUUCCCUAAGCGCGUAUGACUACAUACGGAAUACAUGCCUACAUUAGAUUGACGAACGGCAGCUAGUUACAUAUCUCUCCGUGUUAUAGCUGUUACAUGACGAAUAACAUCCGUAACACUCAUCUAUCAUCGAUCCACUGCCUACGAGUCUUUUACUACUGGUCCUUGCUACGUUACUUUGUCUAGGCUUGUCCCUUGCUACAAAAGGGAUUGGGCCACUUUGCUACUACUGUUGCUUCUGCUGUUACUAUUGCUGCUGCUACUGAUGUUCCAUGCUACUGCUGUCACUUUGUUAUUACUUGUUGCAAGAUCUUUUCCAACACUGUUGUCGGGGAAGAAUAGUUACUCGCCCACGUGCAACCUACUGGCGCCAUUUAUACAACAGUUAGGAAUAGUCUGCCGUCAACAGAUCGUUUCUGGCACCGUUGCUAUCAUACUACUUUGCUACUCAUACUUUGCUUGCAGACAUUAAUCUUUCAGGUGUGGUUGAAUCUGACAAACUCAGCUGCUAAUACUUGAGAAUAUUCUUUCGCUUCCCCUUUGGCGAACCAACAAAUUUGGGUUGAAUACUCUACCCUCAAAAACUGUUGCGAUCCCCUAUACUUGUGGGUUAUCAAUGUCCACAUAGUCAUCGAGAAGAUUCUGAUGCAGUUCUGGUCGAUGGAGGGGGUGGAGGAGAUCCUGGGGAAGAGGGUCAGGGUCGACCGCCUCGACAGCAGGACGUUGGAGCGCGGCCACACCAAGACCUUCGCCUGCUAGGUCUGGACGAACGACGUCGCCAACAUCCCCACCAGGCACAUUCUCGGGGUGCUGCCGCGCGGUGCGGGGGGUGUUGAGGAUAUGGAGGGGUUCUCCCCGCCCGACAGGUGUGUCGCAUCGCCGCUGGCCACUACAGACUACACCAUGCUCAUCCACGUCGACCGGGUCGAGGACUGGACGCCGCCGUCCCCAUGCUCCUCCCACUCCAGCCAGAGCAGGCUCCCGUCAUCUGGCUCUAACGACGAUGACAAGCCGUUCCCGACGGUGGCUCCUGCCUCUUGGACGAUGUGGGUGGAGGAUGGCCAGCGGGCUGAGCGGCAACAGCGCCCACCGCGUGCCCCGGUGGCUGAUCUGGGCUGCCGUGGCAUGCCUCGGGGAGGCCAUGGGAGGGACCAGGACGGUGACGGUGGCUCGAGGGGCGGGGGCCAGCGGUCCUGGAAGGACGUUCUCCUUCGACGUGGCCGCGCGCCGGCCCUCCCUCUGCACGCGCAUGCACCAUGUCAGCGCAGUCGCUCCCCGCCGGCUCGACGUGGCUCCAGGGAGACGGCUGGUCGCCGUCAGGGCGACAGGAAGACCCCGCGGGUGACACGUCACCCCACGCAGCGCUGGAGGUCAAGGCCUCUUCCAUCUCCACCGACCAGGACGGACACCUCCAAGGUCGACGGAGGCGACAGAAACGGGAAGGACCCAGUAGAGGAUUUCUUCAAGACGGCGAAGAAGCCUUCGCUCGCCUCCGUCAUCGUUGACGGUCUGGCGGCGGACGUCCAUGCUGCCGCCGAGGCCGUGGUGGCUGCACCGUUGGAGUUCGACGAGCAGCCUCUGGGCAUGGCCUCGGGGGAGGCACUGCAGCUCGACGCGUUCAGCCCCACGCUAUCUGCAUCAGCGUCUGAGUUCGGGCAGUUCAGUCGUGCCACCCCUUCGACGGCUCGAACGCUCGAGGUGCAGCUGGGUGCGGUAACUAGCCGAGUGUGCCAGCUGGAGAUUGUCGGGGUUGACAAUCGCCCGGAGCCAUCCGGCCUCUUCUGCGCGAACAGGGCGCCGCUGGUGAACUCUCCUCCUACUCGGAGAUCGGUGACACCCCCGAAGAACAGGGCCAUCUCUGCUCCAACGCACCAUAGUGCUAGGCAAGUGAUGUUUGCUGUGUAUUCCCGGCAACGACGCCAGAAAUGCUUCUACAUUGGUGUUUCCUGGAAGCGGAGAGGAUGAUGUAGCACAGCGGAGGUAAGUAUUUCCCUCAGUUUGAGAACCAAGGUAUCAAUCCAGCGGAGUUGUAUCUCAAGAUCCUGCACAAACACAAAAACUUGCACCCAACGCUAUGAAGGGGUUGUCAAUCCCUUAUAGAUUUUUUGCCAAGUGAGAACUGAAAGCAACAAAGUAACUAAGCAAAGUAAAAGCAGAGUUGUAAACGAUGGAUGUGAAUAGACCCGGGGGCCGUAGUGUUUACUAGUGGCUUCUCUCAUGAAAGCAAGUAGACGGUGGGUGAACAAAUUACUGUUGAGCAAUUGCUAGAACUGUGCAGAGUCGUGACGAUAUCUAUGCAAUGAUUAUUUCUAUAGGCAUCACGUCCGAAACAAGUAGACCGAUACUGUCUGCAUCUACUACUAUUACUCCACACGUCGACCGCUAUCCAGCAUGCAUCUAGUGUAUUAAGUCCAUAAGAACAGAGUAACGCCUUAAGCAAGAUGACAUGAUGUAGAGGGAUAAUCUCAAACCAAUGAUAAAACCCUAUCUUUUUUACCCUUGAUGGCAACUGCUUGAUGUGUGCCUUGCUGCCCCUACUGUCACUGGGAAAUGUCACCACAUGGCAAAACCCAAAACCAAGCACUUCUCCCAUUGCAAGAAUCAUAGAUCUAGUUGGCCAAACAAAACCCAAGACUCGGAGAGACUUACAAGGAUAUCAAAUCAUGCAUAUAAGAAAUCAGCAAAGACUCAAAUAUAUAUCAUAGAUAAUCUAAUCACAAGUCCACAAUUCAUCGGAUCUCGACAAACACACCGCCAAGGAAGAUUACAUCGGAUAGAUCUCCAUGAAGAUCAUGGAGAACUUUGUAUUGAAGAUCCAAGAGAGAGAAGAAGCCAUCUAGCUACUAUCUACGGACCCGUAGGUCUGAAGUGAACUACUCACGAGUCAUUGGAGGGGCGAUGAUGAUGAUGAAGAAGCCCUCCAACUCCAAAGUCCCCUCCGGCAGGGUGCCAGGAGGGGUCUCCAGAUGAGAUCUCGCGGAAACGGAAGCUUGCGGCGGCGGAAAAGUAUUUUCGAGGCUCCCCUCAUUUAUUGCGGAAUAUUUGGGAAUUUAUAGGCCAAAGACCUAGGUCAGGGGGCGGCCAGGGAGGCCACAAGCCUGCCCACCGCCGCCUCCCCUUGGUGGCGGAGUGGGGGCUUGUGGGCUCCGUGGAGCCCACCUGGCUUGGCGCAAAAGCCCCCUGGACUUCUUCCGUUCGUGAAAAAAUCAUUUUGGGGUUUUUUCUUCCGUUUGGACUCCGUUCCAAAAUCAGAUCUAAAAAGAGGCAAAAACACGGAAAAACAGGAACUGGCACUUGGCACUGAAUUAAUAAGUUAGUCCCAAAAAGAUAUAAAAAGGUACAUAAAACAUACAAAGAAAGCAAGAUAACAGCGUGAAAACAUCAAAAAUUAUAGAUACGUUUGAGACGUAUCAAGCAUCCCCAAGCUUAACUCCUGCUCGUCCCCGAGUAGGGAAGUGAUAAGAAUGAAUUUUUGAUGCUUUCAUGCUACCUAGCAUAGGUGUCCUUUGUAAUUCCUCUUAUGUGACGUGAAUGUUCAGAUCCAUUAGAUUCAAAACAAUAGUUUUCUAUUGACGUGGAAACAAUAACAAUUCAAGCAAACUAGCAAAGUAAUCAUGGACUUUCAAAAUAACAAGGCCAACAGAAAGUUAUCCCUACAAAAGCAUAUAUUCUGGAUAUGAUCUAUCAUCAUUGCACAACGAAUUUAAAUUAUGCACAACCCCGGUAUUGGCCAAGUAAUUGUUUCACACCUUUACUUUCUCAAACAUUUUCAACUCUCACGCAAUACAUGAGUGUGAGCCAUGGUUAUAGCACUAUAGAUGGUGUGGAAUGUAGUGGAGGUUGCAAGACAAAAAAGGAGAAGAUAGUCAUAUUAGCUAGGCAUAUCAAUGAGCCGUGGAGAUGCUCAUCAAUACAUAUCAAUGUGAAUGAGUAGGGAUUGCCAUACAAAUGAUGCACUAGAGCUACAAGUAUGUGAAAGCUCUUAAAGAAAACUAGUGGGUGUGCAUCCAACUUGCUUGCUCACGAAGACCUAAGGCAAUUUUGAGGAAGCCUAUCAUUGGAAUAUACAAGACAAGUUAUAUAAUGAGAAUUUCGCACUAGCUAUAUGGUGGUGACAAAACAAGAGACUCUCAAUCAUGAAGAUCAUGGUGCUCAAAAUGCACAAGUGUGGAAAAAGUGGUAGCAUUGUCCCUUCUCUCUUUUUCUCUCAUUUUUUUAUUUUGGUGGGCUCUUUGGCCUCUUUUUUAUGGGCUUAUUUGGCCUCUUUUAUUUCCUCACAUGGGAUAAUGCUCCAAUAAUGAUGAUCAUCACACUUUCAACUCAAAACUUAGAGCAAUUAUGACUCUAUAUGGAAUGCCUUCGGUAGUGUAUCGUGGCAAUGAUCUAGCAUGGCAUAGACAUCAAUGGAAACAUCAUGCUAGCUAUCUUACGAUCAUGCAAUGGCAAUGUAGACGUGGUGGUACAUGUCAUGGUGCUAGUUGCAUGGCAAUAUAUCUCAGAAUGACUUUGAAAAACUCCAUAGUAGGUAGGUAUGGUGGCUGUUUUGAGGGAGGCUAAUGGUGGGUUUUGUGCACCGGCGAAAGUUGCACGGCACUAAGAAGAUAGUGAUGGUGGAAGGUGAAAGUGCAUCUAAACCAUGGACUCAACAUUAGUCAUGAAGAACUCAUAUACUUGUUGCAAAAGUUUUAUUAGUAAUCGAAACAAAGCAUUCAACGCAUACUCCUAGGGGAAGGGUUGGUAGGUAUAAGCCAUCGCGCGCUCCCGACCGCCAUGCAAAGGAUGACAAUCAAUAUACUAAUCAUGCUUAGAUUUCAUCACAUAGCGGUUCACCAUAAGUGCAUGCUACGGGAAUCAUUAACUUCAACACAAGUAUUUCUAGAUCCACAACAGCUUACUAGCAUGACUUCAAUAUUACCAUAACCACAACUCAAAACUAAUUGAGAUGAAUCAAACUUAUCUAACUAUUCAAUGCACAUGAAGGUGGAAGUUUUCGUAUCCCUUUGGAUAACUACCCCUUUUGAGACUACUUUCAAAGCAUAGAUCAACUACCAAGACACGCACCGCUGCGCUCUAAAAGAUAUAAGUGAAGCACAUAGAGCAAAAGUAUCUAGCUCAAAAGAUAUAAGUGAAGCACAUGUGAGCUGAAUUGUCUACCAAAGGAUAUAAGUGAAGCUCGACAAAAUCACGGUGAGUGCAUGUCUCUCUCUCUAGGUGUGCAGCAAGGAUGAUUGUGACACAACAAAAAUAAAAUACUCCUACGAUACAAGACACUCCAAGCAAAAACACAUAACAUGUGGUGAAUAAAAAUAUAGCCCCAAGUAACGUUAUCGAUGGAUUGAAGACGAGAGAGGGGAUGCCUUCCCGGGGCAUCCCCAAGCUUAGGAUUUUACGGCAUCCUUGAAUCUCCUGGGGUGCCUUGGGCAUCCCCAAGCUUGAGCUCUUGCCACUCUUUAUCUUUUUGUCCAUAAGAACUUCACCCAAAACUUGAAAACUUCACAACACGAAACUUAAACAGAAACUCGUGAUAACAUUAGUACAAGAAAGCAAACCACCACUUCCUUAGGUACUGUAGCAAACUUAAAUUCUACAUGUGCUGAUGUUGGGUUACUGUACUUUCAAUCUUCCAUGGCUAAUACCCCCCCGAUACUAUCCAUAGUUUCAUCAAAAUAAGCAACCAACACAACAAAAACAGAAUCUGUUAACAGCAGACCAGUCUGUAGCAAUCUGUAUGCUUCGUAUACCUCUAGUACUUCAAAAAUUCUGAACAAUAACGAAAGUCUGAAGAAUUUGUGUAGCAAUCAGCAACAGAAAGAAUCAACUCAAAAUAUCUUACAGAAAAAAAUGAAAAUUCUUUUCCUGAGCAGAAAGUUUCUAUCUUUUCCAGCAUGACCAUACGACCAUCCCCAAGNNNNNNNNNNNNNNNNNNNNNNNNNNNNNNNNNNNNNNNNNNNNNNNNNNNNNNNNNNNNNNNNNNNNNNNNNNNNNNNNNNNNNNNNNNNNNNNNNNNNAUAGCAUAAUCAGAAUCCUUGAAUUUUUCUGAUACUUUUUCAUAUAUAAAUUAUUUUCAUUGGAGUUACACAUUAAUUUCUAUGAUUUUUACAAUUUUUAGCAAUUUGCUGAAUUAGUUUUAUACUGGAAAUUCUAUUUAUUGCGUCAGGCUAACGUCAGCAGGUCAGCCGACCUGUUCAGGUCAAACCUGACAGGGGGGCCCCACUGGUCAGCCUCUCUGGGACUAAUCCCGCGCUGACCAGCCCCUAAUUGGGGUUUGACCAGGCGUGGGGCCCUCUGGCAGCGACUGAGGGGAGGGCGAUUACGCCCUAAUGGUCGGCCACGUCGACGCCCACCGGAGGGUGGUCGCCGGCGACCAGACCCGCGGCGGAGGGCUCGCCGCAGGCGACCUAGACGGCACUGCACAGCACCAAAACGCACGCGGUUGGCAGCUACAGCAUGCUCGCGAAGUGGCCGAUCUGGCAGGACCAACUAGGGAGGCUAGGGUCGCCGGAAGAGGCGUCGGCGACGAGCCGGAGCGGCGGCCGUAGCUCGGGCGUCAUCGGGGGCUUUGAAUCAGAGGGAUCUACGCUCGGUUCUUAGCUGCUACGGCAUCUACGCGUCGUCCUGGAGCUGCUGGUGCUCUCAGACGGACGAGCUAAUCAUCGGAGGGCUACCGGCGACGAGCGGCAGCGGCGGUCCUCGUCGGGCUCCGGUGAAACUAGCGCUAGAGGAGUGGAUCGACGGGGGAAACUUAGGGGAAACGACCGCAUGCUCACGGGGAGUGUAGAGCAGAGCUUAGACGGCUCGGGGAAGGCCUGGGGGCGAUGAAUCGACGGAAGAGGUCCUGCGGCCGGAGGUGGAAGACGACGGCGUUGCGGGCGUUGCAGGGCUCGAGGAAGCUUUGGCUUCUGCAGAGAUGACCAGGGCGACGAGGCGGAGCUAAUGGCAUGCUCUGGGAGGGGAUCCUAUGGUCAGGGGCACGGGCAGGUCGAGCUCGAGCUCGGCUCUAAUGGUGGCAGCAAGGAGGGGGAGGAGAUCCGGGCGGAGGAGGAGAACCGAGGCGGGGAAUGGAUAGGGGAGGCUCUGGGGAGCUUAUCCCCGUCGUCGCCAGCGCGAGGCGGCGGCCAGGCAGGCACGCAGGUGCGUNNNNNNNNNNNNNNNNNNNNNNNNNNNNNNNNNNNNNNNNNNNNNNNNNNNNNNNNNNNNNNNNNNNNNNNNNNNNNNNNNNNNNNNNNNNNNNNNNNNNUCAUUUCUGUUCAUCUCCCAGAUGACAGACCAUACACAACUCUAAGCAUAGCAUGCAUAGCAGGAUAAGGCACAUCAUAGCUCAAGCAACUACCAGGUAUGCUAGGUUGCAAGGUUCGGCUAUUUACUGUGAUAAGGUUAAGUCAUGCAAAGGAAGUGGGUCCAACUAUCGUGGCAAAAGCAGUUGAAGCAUUUGAUCCUAAUGCAAUGAAUAGGUGCAGGAGCAAGAACAUAGAGGUUAUCGGGAUGAUCAAAAGGGUUGCUUGCCUUGUUGCUCAGGGGAGGAACGAUAUCCGUCAGACGGAUAUUCGGUGGAAUCCGGGGGUGCGGAGCCUACCGAAAUGAAAGGCAACAUUCAAUAACAAUCAUAUGCACUCAAAAUGAUGCAUGAGCAUGGCAUGAGAAUGCAAGGUGAUAAGUUAUUAUUUUCAACAUGUAAUAGGUUUAGAGUUGAUUUGAAUCACAUUCGAAUAGCAAUUCAAAUGGGUAUUCUCGGAUACCGGUUUAAUUGAUUCGACCUGAUGCUCAGAUCAACUUGGUGUUAACAUGCAUGAAUGUCAUGUUAUGAUCCUGAUUUGUACUUAGGGCAGUGUGUGAUCAUUGCAAAUAUAAUGAAAUUUGAAUAUUUUUGCAAAUUCCAUUUAUAAGGUGAUUUAAAGAAUUGAAUUAUUUCUUAUUUCACAAUUUAGGGUUCUGUAACCUUAUCAAACAUAGUUGAAAAUAGCAUAAUCAGAAUCCUUGAAUUUUUCUGAUACUUUUUCAUAUAUAAAUUAUUUUCAUUGGAGUUACAGAUUAAUUUCUAUGAUUUUUACAAUUUUUAGCAAUUUCCUGAAUUAGUUUUGUACUGGAAAUUCUAUUUAUUGCGUCAGGCUGACGUCAGCAGGUCAGCCGACCUGUUCAGGUCAAACAUGACAGGGGGGCCCCACUGGUCAGCCUCUCUGGGACUAAUCCCGCGCUGACCAGCCCCUAAUUGGGGUUUGACCAGGCGUGGGGCCCUCUGGCAGCGACUGAGGGGAGGGUGAUUACGCCCUAAUGGUCGGCCACGUCGACGCCCACCGGAGGGUGGUCGCCGGCGACCAGACCCGCGGCGGAGGGCUCGCCGGAGGCGACCUAGACGGCACUGCACAGCACCAAAACGCACGCGGUUGGCAGCUACAGCAUGCUCGCGAAGUGGCCGAUCUGGCAGGACCAACUAGGGAGGCUAGGGUCGCCGGAAGAGGCGUCGGCGACGAGCCGGAGCGGCGGCCGUAGCUCGGGCGUCAUCGGGGGCUUUGANNNNNNNNNNNNNNNNNNNNNNNNNNNNNNNNNNNNNNNNNNNNNNNNNNNNNNNNNNNNNNNNNNNNNNNNNNNNNNNNNNNNNNNNNNNNNNNNNNNNUAUUGAAAAAUGUUAAUCAAGCAAUCCAAAUAUGUUAAUCAAUUAUUCGAGUUAUGUUAAUUGAGCAUUUGAUUUUUUUAAAUUUGUAUAGAGAAAAUAUUUCCCAUGUAUAGGAAAACAAGAAAAAUAUGAAAUAUGUAUGAAAAAGAUGAUAAGCAUGUAUUUAAAAAAUGAUAACCGGAUAUAAAAAUGUUAAUAAUGUACUUAAAAAAUGUUAAACUUGUAUAGAACACGCAUAAUGUAAUUUUGUUUGUAUACAUUAAGAACACACACACACAUGUGNNNNNNNNNNNNNNNNNNNNNNNNNNNNNNNNNNNNNNNNNNNNNNNNNNNNNNNNNNNNNNNNNNNNNNNNNNNNNNNNNNNNNNNNNNNNNNNNNNNNNNNNNNNNNNNNNNNNNNNNNNNNNNNNNNNNNNNNNNNNNNNNNNNNNNNNNNNNNNNNNNNNNNNNNNNNNNNNNNNNNNNNNNCACACACAUGUGUGUGUGUGUGUGUUUAACAUUUUUGAAAUGCAGAACUAAAUUCAUUUAAAUAUAUGUUUUUUGAUAUCUGCUUUUACUUAUGUACGUUCCACAUUUUUUAUAUACAUGUUUAACAUUUAAAAAAUAUGUGUUAACCUUUUCAUAUAUAUAUAUAAAACAAAUGAACACAAAAAAACUAGGAAAAAACAAAGGAAAUAAAAAAUAAAAAAAACCCCAGAGAAAACGACUACAAAAACAAUGGAAAAUAGUGAAAACUGAGAAAUAAACAAAGAAACCCAAUUGAAACAAGAAAGAUAAAAAAAAGAAAACCAAAGAAGUGGAAGAAGAUGAAAAAGAAGAAGAAAAAGAAGAAGAAGAAAGAAAGAAAGAAGAAGAAAUUAAUAAUAAUAAAACAGAGUGAAAGCCAAAAGUGNNNNNNNNNNNNNNNNNNNNNNNNNNNNNNNNNNNNNNNNNNNNNNNNNNNNNNNNNNNNNNNNNNNNNNNNNNNNNNNNNNNNNNNNNNNNNNNNNNNNCACUUUUGGCUUUCACUCUGUUUUAUUAUUAUUAAUUUCUUCUUCUUUCUUUCUUUCUUCUUCUUCUUUUUCUUCUUCUUUUUCAUCUUCUUCCACUUCUUUGGUUUUCUUUUUUUUAUCUUUCUUGUUUCAAUUGGGUUUCUUUGUUUAUUUCUCAGUUUUCACUAUUUUCCAUUGUUUUUGUAGUCGUUUUCUCUGGGGUUUUUUUUAUUUUUUAUUUCCUUUGUUUUUUCCUAGUUUUUUUGUGUUCAUUUGUUUUAUAUAUAUAUAUGAAAAGGUUAACACAUAUUUUUUAAAUGUUAAACAUGUAUAUAAAAAAUGUGGAACGUACAUAAGUAAAAGCAGAUAUCAAAAAACAUAUAUUUAAAUGAAUUUAGUUCUGCAUUUCAAAAAUGUUAAACACACACACACACACAUGUGUGUGUGUGUUCUUAAUGUAUACAAACAAAAUUACAUUAUGCGUGUUCUAUACAAGUUUAACAUUUUUUAAGUACAUUAUUAACAUUUUUAUAUCCGGUUAUCAUUUUUUAAAUACAUGCUUAUCAUCUUUUUCAUACAUAUUUCAUAUUUUUCUUGUUUUCCUAUACAUGGGAAAUAUUUUCUCUAUACAAAUUUAAAAAAAUCAAAUGCUCAAUUAACAUAACUCGAAUAAUUGAUUAACAUAUUUGGAUUGCUUGAUUAACAUUUUUCAAUACAUGAUCUACUUUUUUUCAUAUGGAAUUUUCAAUUAACAUUUUUCAAUAAAUGAUCUACUUCUUUUUAUACACAUUGUAUAUUUUUUGUAGUCAUUUUUCAUAUAAAUGUGAAAUAUUUUUCUGCACAUAUAUAUAUAAAUUCAAAUCUUUGUUAACAUUUAGAAUGUAUUAUGUAAAAUCUCUUUCGUAAUAUAUAUAAUCAAAAUAUUUUGUAGUAUGAAAAAUAAAAAAAAUUGAAACAUAAGACAUGGAAAAUAAACAGAAAAGAUGAGGUUGUGGCCUGCCUCCCGCAUGCUGGGCAGCGCAAUACAACGCUCGGCAAGACUUUUCUAUGUCUCGCUAUCCGUGUGUCCCAUGAAAGAGGUAUACGAUUGUGGACUUGCUGCAUGUAACCUAGCCCUAUAGGUCCGUGAUAUUUCCUACGAAUAUGCUAAACCUACAUAACCACGUACAAUGGUUUAUGUAGCUAGGUAAACUAAAUCCCUGACCCCAGCCCAGCCCCCUUCCAAUCCUAGUCCUACAAAUCAGCAUGCCCAUAAAACAAUGAUCAAUUUUUUUAUAGAUUUUUUAAUACAUAAUAAAAAAUUAUACACAUUGUAUAUUUUUAUAUACAUUUCCAUAUACAAGAAAAUUAUUUUUAUAUACACAUUCUAUAUUUUAAAAAUGCUCGAUUUACAUUUGAAAUGUUUUAUGUAAAGUGUUUUUUGUAAUAUAUAAAAUUAGAAUGUUUGGUAGUAUAAGAAAAAAUAAAAUACAUAAAACAUGAAAAAAAAACAGAAAAAUAAGGUUCUGGCUUGCCUUCCAUGUGUUGGACCGGCCUAGUACAACGCUUGCUUUAGCCGAAAUUUUCCUAUGUCUCGGUAUAAGCGAGACAUAGAUUCAUCCCAUGAAAAAGGUACAUGGUUGUGGACUUGCUGUAUGUAACCUAGUCCUAUAAACCCGCGAUACUUUAAAAAUGAUAAGCCUACAUAAUCAUGUACAAAGGUUUACGUAGCUCGUCAAACUAAAUCCCAUCCUAUUUUUACGUGAAAAUGGAACAUGAUGUGUGAAAUUCUAACACCUUUAGGUCUUGUUUGGUACUAGUGUUUUUGAGGAGAUUGGUGGGGAUAAUUCUCCAAGGGAUCGGGUGAAACCCCAACCUUCACCUAAUCCCUUCAAAUCCCCAUUUAUCCCCAAUACACUAGGUAGGGGUAGUGUUUUGGGUAUUGAAAAAAAUGCAUUAUAAUUUGAGGAUUUGAGGGGAAAUAUGGGGAUGAAACAUGUCAAAUACACUAGAACCAAAUGGUGUUAUGGGAUGUGUGGGGAUUAAGGGGUUUGAUCGGGAUAAUCCCCCCAAAUUUCCUAAAAUACACUAAUACCAAACAAGGCCUUAUGGUGUCCCGUGGUUCAAACCGAUGUGAAGAGAAAAUCCAAUCCUCUGCUUUUAUUUGUAAAGUCUCUAUUCCUCGAUGAUCAAAUCCCAAAAAAUUAUGAACCAUAUCAUGUUUGGCUAGCCAAUUAAAUAACCAACCCUGCUGCAUUGUCUUCGUCUCUCCCUCGAAUCAUACAGUUGACAAAAUUACCAGAUAGAUCAAUCGAGUGGCUACCGAUCCGGUUGAUCCUGCACGGUUGAUGCCUAGCAUCCGUCACUAACUAACUAUACCCGCAAAAAAAAAAAAACUUACUAGCUGGCCGACUCGUACGAUUGGUGCACGACAUACAACUAACUUGCCAGGCUAACUCAGCUAAAAAAACACUUGCAAAGCUAACUCGUACUAACAAUAUUACUCCGUGAAAGAGGAGAGGUUUUGCAGAAGGAGGACGACGUACGUACAUACGAUCUUCGCGCCGGAUCCGCUGGAUAAGAAAUCAAUCCAAACAGAACCCAACUUUCUCUCCGCAGCUCAUGCAUUCCGUUCCAGUGCAUCCCAUAUAAAUGGAUCACCAGCCAUAGCCAUAGAACCAUCGCACUAGCUGCAAACCAGCGCUGCAACGCAAAACCUGGGACCGAUGGCGCCAUCCAAGUCCCAUCUAGCCUUGCUCCUCGCCGUCGUCCUGCUCGCCACCACGCCGCAGCCUUCGGCGGCCGUCAGGGCCGAGCCCCCUACCCCCUCCACCAGCAAUGGUGCGGUAGCAAAGCCAUCGGCAUGGUGCAUUCCCUGCUUUUCGUUUCUACCACAGUCAUUCUGUAUACCGCCGAUGUUCUGUCCACCAACGCCAAGUGCGCCGCCGCCGCCGCCGCCGCCGCCACCGCCACCGCCAGCAUCGAAGCCGCAGCCGAAAGAGUGUCUACCAUCGN